rnacentral:rRNA from 1 species
UACGUAGGGGCCUAGCGUUGUCCGGAAUUAUUGGGCGUAAAGAGCUCGUAGGCGGUUCGGCAAGUCGGAUGUGAAAUCUCCACGCUUAACGUGGAGGGGCCAUUCGAAACUGCUGUGACUCGAGUCCGGUAGGGGAGUGUGGAAUUCCCGGUGUAGCGGUGAAAUGCGCAGAUAUCAGGAGGAACACCGAUGGCGAAGGCAGGUCUCUGGGCCAUUACUGACACUGAGAAGCGAAAGCAUGGGGAGCGAACAGG